CAAAUACUGACAGUCUUACCAA
rnacentral:miRNA from 1 species